UCUUAUGUAUGAAUUAAGAAGGUGGUUUCUUGAGAUAGAAUCUAUUCCUGGUGAAGAUGCUGUGAA
rnacentral:pre_miRNA from 1 species